rnacentral:rRNA from 1 species
AGACCCGAAACCCGGUGAUCUAGCCAUGGGCAGGUUGAAGGUUGGGUAACACUAACUGGAGGACCGAACCGACUAAUGUUGAAAAAUUAGCGGAUGACCUGUGGCUGGGGGUGAAAGGCCAAUCAAACCGGGAGAUAGCUGGUUCUCCCCGAAAGCUAUUUAGGUAGCGCCUCGUGAAUUCAUCUCCGGGGGUAGAGCACUGUUUCGGCUAGGGGGCCAUCCCGGCUUACCAACCCGAUGCAAACUGCGAAUACCGGAGAAUGUUAUCACGGGAGACACACGGCGGGUGCUAACGUCCGUCGUGAAGAGGGAAACAACCCAGACCGCCAGCUAAGGUCCCAAAGUCAUGGUUAAGUGGGAAACGAUGUG